UACGUAGGGUGCGAGCGUUAAUCGGAAUUACUGGGCGUAAAGCGUGCGCAGGCGGUUUUGUAAGUCAGAUGUGAAAUCCCCCGGGCUUAACCUGGGAACUGCGUUUGAAACUACAAGGCUAGAGUGUGGCAGAGGGGGGUGGAAUUCCACGUGUAGCAGUGAAAUGCGUAGAGAUGUGGAGGAACACCAGAUGGCCGAAGG
rnacentral:rRNA from 1 species